GACAGAGGGUGCAAACGUUGUUCGGAAUUACUGGGCGUAAAGCGCGUGUAGGCUGCUCGGAAAGUCGGAUGUGAAAGCCCUGGGCUCAACCUAGGAAGUGCAUUCGAAACUUCCGAGCUGGAGUGCUGGAGAGGAAGGCGGAAUUCUCGGUGUAGAGGUGAAAUUCGUAGAUAUCGAGAGGAACACCGGUGGCGAAGGCGGCCUUCUGGACAGUGACUGACGCUGAGACGCGAAAGCGUGGGGAGCAAACAGG
rnacentral:rRNA from 1 species